rnacentral:rRNA from 1 species
UACGUAGGCAGCGAGCGUUGUUCGGAAUUACUGGGCGUAAAGAGUGUGUAGGCGGUGCUCCCAGUCUGUUGUGAAAUCUCCCGGCUUAACUGGGAGGGUGCAGCGGAAACUAGAGUGCUAGAGGGUGGGAGAGGUAAGCGGAAUUCCUGGUGUAGCGGUGAAAUGCGUAGAUAUCGGAAGGAACGCCGGUGGCGAAAGCGGUCUGCUGGACCUCUUCUGACGCUGAGGCGCGAAAGCCAGGGGAGCAAACGGG